rfam:complete chromosome Acholeplasma palmae.
GGUAACACGAAAAAGAGACUAGUACUUUAAAUUGUUUUUUAAAGAGAGUUCGCGUUUGGUGCAAGCGAAUAUAAACAGUUAAACGAAUCUACUCUUUAGUGACACUAAUCCUGUCCGUAUCUCUGCGUUAAAGAGUUUAAAGCUAGGUAUUCCUAGAAAAUAAGGUGGCACCGCGUAUAUUAACGCCCUUAAG